UUUUAUUUAUCUUAGUGGCGGACGGGUGAGUAACGUGUAGGCAACCUGCCCUAUACUGGGGAAUAAUCACUGGAAACGGUGACUAAUACCGCAUGUCAUUACGGAAGGGCAUCCUUCUGUAAGAAAAGGAGUAAUUCGGUAUAGGAUGGGCCCGCAUCUGAUUAGCUAGUCGGUGAGAUAACAGCCCACCAAGGCGACGAUCAGUAGCCGACCUGAGAGGGUGAUCGGCCACAUUGGGACUGAGACACGGCCCAAACUCCUACGGGAGGCAGCAGUGGGGAAUAUUGCACAAUGGGGGAAACCCUGAUGCAGCAACGCCGCGUGAAGGAAGAAGGUUUUCGGAUCGUAAACUUCUAUCAACAGGGACGAAGAAAGUGACGGUACCUGAAUAAGAAGCCCCGGCUAACUACGUGCCAGCAGCCGCGGUAAUACGUAGGGGGCAAGCGUUAUCCGGAAUUACUGGGUGUAAAGGGAGCGUAGGCGGCACGCCAAGCCAGAUGUGAAAGCCCGAGGCUUAACCUCGCGGAUUGCAUUUGGAACUGGCGAGCUAGAGUACAGGAGAGGAAAGCGGAAUUCCUAGUGUAGCGGUGAAAUGCGUAGAUAUUAGGAAGAACACCAGUGGCGAAGGCGGCUUUCUGG
rnacentral:rRNA from 1 species